UAGUCUGAGGAAGCCCAAGGAACUGCAUGUACUAGUUCCAGCUGACAGCCCCAGUUGACAGUCAGAACCAACUGCUACAGACAGAAAGUAUAGAACUGAAUGAAGGUCAUUCUCAUGGUUUGCCUCUACAUCUGGGAGGAUAACGAUCCCGUAAAAAACGUCCCGUCAACUGAAGGAGGUCCAUAGCGGAAGAACAGAACCUGCAUUUGAGGAACCUAUGGGGCAUUCACAAGGAGAGGUCAAGUAGACAGGAUAUAAACAUCUGGAGCUCAGCUGCCUUUACCACACCUGGUGAUUUAUUAUAGCUACUAUGGGGUGCACAGGUGCAGCUAUGGAGAAGGCAAAUACUGUCCACCAAGCCCACACUAGGUAUGUGGUCUUUGGAAAAUUACAGCCUCUUUCUUCUGUUAAACAAAUCAGAGGAGUUGGUAAUAUAAAUUAUGAAGGUUUCCUUUUGUUUUGGUUUAUUUUGUUGAACGAGGUGAUCCAGUUGGCCAGUUACAACAUGGUGUACCUACUAUAAUCCCAGGAGUUUUUAUUUGUGGUGUACAAAUAAAAAUAGUAAAUAGUAGUAUUUACUAUUUUUAAGACCCUGUGAAAAUUUUGAAAAUGUAAUGUAUAUAUAUUCUUCUGAAUAAAAAAGCAGACCAAGCAAAGAAAUAGUAGGUUGAAUGGAAUUAAUAGCAUCAUGCUCUUCAAUUUAUUUAUUAACAAAUAAUGCAAUAGUAGGAUGGAGAGAGGAGUUUGAAAUUAUAUUUUAUCAAACUGUAAGAACAGGCAGUUCUUUGUCAUUUUUUUAACCAAAGAGUAAAAGAAAAAUAAAUUAAUAUGCUAGUGAAUAUAAAGGUUUUUUGAGUUAUUCAAAAUCUAUAAAGGCCUUUAGGUGUUAGAAGAAAUUUCCAAAAUUUUCAUUCCACUUAAACAUUGAAUUUAAGCCCAAACAAAAUUAUGCCAUAGAAUACCAUAAUAUAUAA